GGCCGGUUAGCUCAGCUGGUUAGAGCGUGGUGCUAAUAACGCCAAGGUCCUGGGUUCGAUCCCCAAACUGGCCA
rnacentral:tRNA from 1 species